UACGAAGGGGGCUAGCGUUGCUCGGAAUCACUGGGCGUAAAGGGUGCGUAGGCGGGUCUUAAGUCAGGGGUGAAAUCCUGGAGCUCAACUCCAGAACUGCCUUUGAUACUGAGGAUCUUGAGUUCGGGAGAGGUGAGUGGGAACUGCGAGUGUAGAGGUGAAAUUCGUAGAUAUUCGCAAGAACACCAGUGGCGAAGGCGGCUCACUGGCCCGAUACUGACGCUGAGGCACGAAAGCGUGGGGGAGCAAACAGGG
rnacentral:rRNA from 1 species